rnacentral:rRNA from 1 species
GAUGAACGCUGGCGGCGUGCUUAACACAUGCAAGUCGAACGAAGCACUUUACUUGAUCUCUUCGGAGUGAUUGUUUUGCGACUGAGUGGCGGACGGGUGAGUAACGCGUGGGUAACCUGCCUCACACAGGGGGAUAACAGUUGGAAACGGCUGCUAAUACCGCAUAAGCGCACAGUACCGCAUGGUACGGUGUGAAAAACUCCGAUGGUGUGAGAUGGACCCGCGUCUGAUUAGCUAGUUGGCAGGGCAACGGCCUACCAAGGCGACGAUCAGUAGCCGACCUGAGAGGGUGACCGGCCACAUUGGGACUGAGACACGGCCCAAAACUCCUACGGGAGGCAGCAGUGGGGAAUAUUGCACAAUGGGGGGAAACCCUGAUGCAGCGACGCCGCGUGAGCGAAGAAGUAUUUCGGUAUGUAAAGCUCUAUCAGCAGGGAAGAAGAAAUGACGGUACCUGACUAAGAAGCAACC